rnacentral:rRNA from 1 species
UACGGAAGGCAGCAGUGGGGAAUAUUGCACAAUGGGCGCAAGCCUGAUGCAGCCAUGCCGCGUGUAUGAAGAAGGCCUUCGGGUUGUAAAGUACUUUCAGCGGGGAGGAAGGCGGUGAAGUUAAUAGCUUCACCGAUUGACGUUACCCGCAGAAGAAGCACCGGCUAACUCCGUGCCAGCAGCCGCGGUAAUACGGAGGGUGCAAGCGUUAAUCGGAAUUACUGGGCGUAAAGCGCACGCAGGCGGUCUGUCAAGUCGGAUGUGAAAUCCCCCGGGCUUAACCUGGGAACUGCAUUCGAAACUGGCAGGCUAGAGUCUUGUAGAGGGGGUAGAAUUCCAGGUGUAGCGGUGAAAUGCGUAGAGAUCUGGAGGAAUACCGGUGGCGAAGGCGGCCCCUGGGACAAAGACUGACGCUCAGGGUGCGAAAGCGUGGGGAGCGAAACAGGAUUAGGAUACC